rnacentral:rRNA from 1 species
UAAUACGGGGGGUGCGAGCGUUGUCCGGAAUCACUGGGCGUAAAGGGCGCGUAGGUGGUUUGAUAAGGGUGUGGUGAAAGUCCGGGGCUCAACCCCGGAUCUGCCGUGCCGACUGUCAAACUCGAGGACUGUAGAGGCAGACGGAAUUCCGGGUGUAGCGGUGGAAUGCGUAGAGAUCCGGAGGAAGACCGGUGGCGAAGGCGGUCUGCUGGGCAGUUUCUG